UAGGCCCUGAAUUAGAACCAGUAAUUGGCUGUUGUAGCUGUUGGUUUCAAACAGGAGCCAAGAGCGAUGUCUUCCUUGUGGUCUGUUGGCUAUUUGAUAUUACUGUGUGAAUGGCCAAUUCGUUUGGAAGAAACAUAG
rnacentral:snoRNA from 1 species